GUCCUGUGUUGAAAUGCUAUAAUAUGGUCUAUAUUAAAUUAAAUAUAAUGUUCAAAUGUGGUUGCAUGGACAAAGUGCAAAAAAAAAACAGCUAGGCCUAGGCCUAUUAUGUGUGUUUAAUAAUUCAUCUCAUAUCAUGGGCCUACAUACUGCCAGUGGUAUAAUAGCCUCAUCACUUUCAUGCCAUCAGUAAUCAUUUUCUUCUUUUAUUUUUUUGAAGAUGUUAAUAAUGUAAAUUUUUAUAUUUUCUGUCAAUAAAGAGAAAAAUUAACAAUAGGCCUAUCUUUUGAUGGUUAGUGUUAUAAAUAAUAGAAAUAUAAAAAUAGAUAUGGGCUAAUUUAGUUGUGUGUAUAGGCCUAACUAUAAAUAAUAUGGUAUUUCUUUCAGGUUUUCAAUCCAUUGACUAGAAGCCAUGUUUGUUGCAAUAUGUUGUUUGUGGUAGACACUGGGAAGAAACCGACUAUUGAAUGUGUAUUUAUUUGUCUCCUGGUACAAAACUGAUGGAAGAGCAGCCAUGAUGAAGCAGUAAAAAGGUUGUUGGAUACCUUGCUUCAAUACCUCUGGUCGGACAAGAAAAGACCUGGCUAAGGAGUAGAGCUUCAAAUAAUUUAUCACCAAGAAAGUUACUGAUUUAAUCCGAAUCCUGUAAUGCGAAAGAUUCUUAAUUAAGCUAAGUGUGCAAUAUUAGGUCAGUUAAGACGACAGUAAUGCAUAGGUAUAUUUUGAAAUCUAGACAUAGUAGCUGUUGUUAUAUUAUUGAUUUAAACAUGCCUGUAUAGUACAAUGCAUACUAUUUUAUGUUUUCUGCAAGUUUCAAUUAAAGAAAAAUGGUCAAGUA